UCUCGGCCUCAUGGCUAAGAUCAAAGUGUAGUAUCUGUUCUUAUCAGCUUAACAUCUGAUAGUUUCUCCAUUGGAGAACAACAAAUGUUAAACUGAUUUUUGGAAUCAGACGGAGUGCUAGGGGCUUGCUCCACCUCUGUCACGGGUUGGCCCGGCACUGCAAUAUCGCCGGGACUUCGGCCCAACUGAAUAAUAAAUUUCAAUUUGUUUGUUUCGAGCCUUGGCUCUCUACAAUAACUCGGGUCUUUGUUCUCAGUUUGAGUUCAUAAAGGGCUGUUGAGUUCCCUCUGUUAUGUAUUUUUUGAUUAACUGGCAUUUUUUGAACCGGCCUGUUGUGAGCGGGGCUGGUUAAAAAAGGGCAACACGUGAGAAAACUAAUUUGAUUAAAUUGCCACAGAAACGCUCAGCGUGAGACGCAGCUUUGAAUGACAAUGGCUACCUUAUCGCCUUAUGAAAUCAUCAGCAGCCAGACGACAAAGGCGGCAAUAGCCGUCAUAUAGCUGGCUACUUAACGGCGGACGGACACGGAGGGGGCAGCAGCAGCGGCAGCAACAACCACCCGAACAGGUAGCUAAGGACCGCUGAAAGUUAAUUUACCGAGAAUCAAACUCAAAUGCGGAUGCUGCAAUCGAGCAUCUGAGAAGCCGACGUCUGUAACCUGAUCUUUGACACACUUCAGCUUUGAUUUCAGGGAAUUAUAAUAUAAAAAAAAAAAAAAAACAGAAGGUAAUGAGAGGACGUCGCAUCACAAAAGGAUUUGCCAUGCAAACUGACACAAAAUGUUGUAAUUGCCAGAAGACAGACAUCGGGCGUCGAUCAUCCUCCCUCUCCAAACCGCAAAGUGCCCUUGCAAUACGAUGCCUGAUUUUUAUUAUUAUUAUAAAAAUUAGGCUUAGCACGUCUGACGGGCACGUGCAACUCCAUCGAUUCAAAUGGGAUUCCACAAAAUAUUCCCAAACGUUGAUUCCUGUGCCGCAACUAAACACAGAGCAGCAGUGGAAGCUCUUGAGUCUGUUGGACAGACCUUUAAACAUGUAUAUUUAACACAUGCUGCAAGCUCUUCCGCACGUUCACGUCAAAUCGGAAAACAAUGGAGCCGAGCCACUGAAGAUGUCAGUUCCGGGGCGCAGUUUAAGUGCCACCAACAAGCAGCUUGUGUCGGUUACUGAGGACCCCAGUAGACAGCCAACGCCCACGCUUCAGUCCACGCCCACAAUGCAGGCUUAAGUUACCUGUAACUAAAAAUAAUGCCCAGAGAUUUAGCUAAAGCGACUUAAUUGCAUGUCACAAAUACACUGUACAAAAUUAGGUAAAAUGCCAGCAUUAUGGUCCGAAAUCAAGCGGUGCAAAUGGCUAAAUUGCAUUCUGUUGUCAUUGUCCUUUGUGCGAGGGAGACAACCAUAUAUGCUACACAUGCAAA